AGAAAUAGAAAUAGAAAAAGAAAAAAAAAAUAGGAAAAGUCGAGAGGGGCAAAUAGGUAAAUUUGCCCCUCCAACCACCUAAGGGGUCCAAACGAAACCCCAUCCAUAGUUCUGCAAAAGAGAGAUAGUGAGAGAAAGGGGUAGAGAGAACCUAGACAGAGGAGAAAGGAUGAACCGCCGGAAGACUCACUGAAAACUACCGUCGGAGUCUAUUCCGGUGAAGAUCAUGAUGCAAGGAGGUGAAGAUCAUGCAGAGAGACUUUCUUGGAAGGGAAAAGAGGAUGUGGGUGGCCAGAGUUCCAUUUUUCAUCAAGAAGUCGAAAAACCCGCAAGGUAAGGAUCUUGAACGUUUUCUCAGAUCUACGGUUUUCCUUUGUGAAUCAAGAUCUGAAAUCUUGAUAUAUUCAUCUAGGAACAACUCUACACAUGAUCUGUGAAGAAGUUUGGCUGAGACCUCAACCCGAAGGCGGAGAUCCGAGAACGGUGUUCGCUGGCUGCUGGUCGAGGUAGAGGAGCGUUUGAGAGCUGUACAGUCACAGAGGGGGUCGUUCCGGAGCGUCAGUCCCUUUUCGGUCUU